AUUGUUCUGUUCUACAGUGUCUGUUUUACUGUAUUGUUAUUUUAUAUUAUUUUCUAUUCUCAGUUCACUUGUCCUUUACGCCUGUCCUUUCUGCCUCCAUACUUUUCAUUGAAGCAACAAUAAUUUCCUGAAGUAAUGAGGGGAGGAAGCAUGAUGUUGAUAACAGACCCGGGUCCAAACUACAAAGGUCGUCCAGCGCGACACCUCCUGCUCGGUCCCGCGGAGCUUCAACUAAACUUUCCGUUCAAACUGUUGAAUUUUCCUCCAGGAUUUCUGUUGGGUAAAAACCAGGUGUGAAUAGCUCUGUAAUGUGAUGAAGCAGAGAGGAGGAGGAGGAGGAUAAGAAAGAGAGGAUGAAGGUGAAUUCUCACCACCUAACCUCCCUGUCUAAGGGCCCUGCUAGCAGCUUCGACAGAGAGGGGAGACUGCGGGUGGGGCGGGAGACACAGGGUGGACAAGGGAGACCACAGGGCAUGUGUGAGAGAUGGUGUCGUUUGAGAGGAAACCUCCUCUUCAUCAUGAAGACACCUCAACAG